CACUCAACGGUCUAUGAGGCAGGAAAUUAAAGCCAGCAAUUUUCACCAGUCCUCCUCCUCCUCUUUUUUCUUUCUUCCUGCUGCCGCAUGCGAAUCGCACUCAUGAAUCUCAAACAGCACGUUUGCGUGGCACCUCCUGCGUCUGAAUCACUUUGGACAAUUUGCCUUUGAUGGCGCUAAUAUUGGCUUUGACCCGAAUCCUGUUUGGACCCUGGGCAGCUUCUCGUUGCCGACCCCUGAGGAGAAAACUGCGGUUUAACGGCACCCCUCCUUUGAAGACAAGAAUGUUACAAACGAGGACCAAGUUGCGAGCGGCGGCGUUUCCCUGCGGCUUGACUUUGCCAAACGUUCUCUCGUCUCCCCGGGCGACCUCCACCUGCCAUAUUUACCCACAAUGCAUCCAGCGGAGUCCAAUAAUGAAAAGCAAUCUCAGCCCAAAUGUCACAAAAGCGUGGAGAAAAAAAAAAA